UGGGAUAACAGAGGGAAACUUCUGAUAAUACUGGAUAAGUUAGUAUAUCGCAUGAUAUGCAAAUGAAAGCUACGGCACUAAAGGAGAGCUUUGCGUCCUAUUAGCUAGUUGGUAAGGUAAGAGCUUACCAAGGCGAUGAUAGGUAGCCGGCCUGAGAGGGUGGACGGCCACAAGGGGACUGAGAUACGGCCCUUACUCCUACGGGAGGCAGCAGCC
rnacentral:rRNA from 1 species